AUUGAACGCUGGCGGAAUGCUUUACACAUGCAAGUCGAACGGCAGCACGGACUUCGGUCUGGUGGCGAGUGGCGAACGGGUGAGUAAUGUAUCGGAACGUGCCCAGUCGUGGGGGAUAACGUAGUGAAAAUUACGCUAAUACCGCAUACGAUCUAUGGAUGAAAGCGGGGGAUCGCAAGACCUCGCGCGAUUGGAGCGGCCGAUAUCAGAUUAGGUAGUUGGUGGGGUAAAGGUCCACCAAGCCAACGAUCUGUAGCUGGUCUGAGAGGACGACCAGCCACACUGGAACUGAGACACGGUCCAGACUCCGACGGGAGGCAGCAGUGGGGAAUUUUGGACAAUGGGCGAAAGCCUGAUCCAGCCAUUCCGCGUGCAGGAUGAAGGCCCUCGGGUUGUAAACUGCUUUUGUACGGAACGAAAAGGUUUCUACUAAUACUAGGAGCUCAUGACGGUACUGUAAGAAUAAGCACCGGCUAACUACGUGCCAGCAGCCGCCGUAA
rnacentral:rRNA from 1 species